GGGGUUGUGGCUCAGUGGUAGAGCUUUUGCCUCACGUGCAUGAGGCCCGGGGUUCAAUCCUCAGCACCA
rnacentral:tRNA from 1 species